rnacentral:lncRNA from 1 species
GAUCACACCGCUGUAGUACCCCAGCCUCUCUACUGCUCCCAGAGCACAUCCACACACUUUGAACCCUGACCUUGAAGCUCUGAUUCCUGAGUCCUAGUUGAAAGGGCCUCGCAACAACCCAUGAGAUCGGUGAUGACUGCCCCCAUUUGCCAGCUUUGCAGGGAGAGGUCAAGACCAAGACGAUCUUCAGGCCCAAGGGAGGCAGGGAGGAGGCUUGCAAAGCCCACCCCUGGGAAGAGGCCUCGCAACAACCCACGAGAUCUGUGAUGACUGCCCCCAUUUGCCAGAUGAGAAGCUGAGGCUCGGAGAUAUUGAGGAAUCUGUCGAGCGUGGUAGGGAGGGGAUGUGGGAGUCAAAUCUGGGUCAGAAUGGCUUUAAGACAUUUUCUUUGCCUUGGGCCACAGCUGCCUCUUCCUUGUUUAUGUUGUGGUUUUGGAGGAGGUAAAGGGACCCCAUCACUUCAAGUCCCUCCUCUGGGAAGGAGACCUCGUUCCUAGGUCCUUACUCUGUAGCUACUCAAUCAGGCCAGGGCCUCAGCUGGACCCUCAAGUGGCUGUUUUCACCUCAUGGGACUCCACAUGGGUAUAUGACAUUCCCUUUCCACUGCCUUGCAAUUAGAUGUGGGAGGCCUGGGCGGUUGACUCACCUCCCCCUACUCUCAGCCCAUCCCGGGAAUCUCAUCGGGACCUCUGGUCUCCUAUGCUAGCAUGGGCAUGGCCAGGCCAGCUGCACCCUCCUCUCUCACUCCAGCCUGGGUGAAAGGGCACAAGUAUGUCUGGGAAGCCAUUUCUCCCUGCCCACAGCCAUCCUGGUUCACGCUGUGACCUCAGCUGCCAUCCUUCCCAUUACCUGCUG